rnacentral:rRNA from 1 species
AGGACGAACGCUGGCGGCGUGCUUAACACAUGCAAGUCGAACGAUGAAGCCCUUCGGGGUGGAUUAGUGGCGAACGGGUGAGUAACACGUGGGCAAUCUGCCCUUCACUCUGGGACAAGCCCUGGAAACGGGGUCUAAUACCGGAUAACACUCUGUCCCGCAUGGGACGGGGUUAAAAGCUCCGGCGGUGAAGGAUGAGCCCGCGGCCUAUCAGCUUGUUGGUGGGGUAAUGGCCUACCAAGGCGACGACGGGUAGCCGGCCUGAGAGGGCGACCGGCCACACUGGGACUGAGACACGGCCCAGACUCCUACGGGAGGCAGCAGUGGGGAAUAUUGCACAAUGGGCGAAAGCCUGAUGCAGCGACGCCGCGUGAGGGAUGACGGCCUUCGGGUUGUAAACCUCUUUCAGCAGGGAAGAAGCGAAAGUGACGGUACCUGCAGAAGAAGCGCCGGCUAACUACGUGCCAGC